AUGCAUAGUACUUACAAUAUUCCACCAUCGGCAAUGUCCCAUCCUGAACAAGGAUACCAAAGUUUGGAGAAUUUGCACUUUGUUGGUGCUACUCAUGAUUCCUUAUCAACGCCACCACUGCCGCCAUAGUCUAAAGAGAAAAAUGUUCCAUCUGCUGGUGUUAAAGUGGCUUCGUCUUCUUCCAAAAGGAAAAGAAAUAUCAUCAGUAUUGGUGAUGAUGUAGCGGGCGAAAGGACUGUGCAGCAUAUGUCCUAUACACCCAAGGAGUAUGAAAGAUUGGCAAGCGCUUGGUUGGAGUGUUCAACUGAUCCUAUCGACGGAAAUGGAAAGAAGGGUGAAAAGUUCUGGGAUGAUAUUGUUGCUCUAUACAAUAGUACCACACGAAACAAUCAAAAGAGAGAUCCCAAUCACCUGAAGCAAGAGUGGGAAAGGACUAAGAAAAGGCUCAGUCUUUUCCAUGGUGCGUGGGUUGCUGUAACUAGUGUGUAUCAUAGUGGUUACAAGCCUGAAGACCUGGAGAAAUUGGCCUUGGAGAAGUAUGAAGCCAACAACGGCCAUCCUUUCCAACAUUUGACUACCUGGGCAAAACUCAAGGUUGAAGGGAAAUGGCUAUCGUGUUACAAUAAAAUGAAUGGGAAUGAAGAGAAGAGUCCAUCUGUAGGGACCAAUCUCGCAACAAAUGCAGUCAAUUUGGAGGGAGAGGAGCGCCCCCUGCGUGAUACAGCUAAGGUUGAACGUACAAGCAAAGGCAAGCCAGGUGUCUCGUGGGAACUUGGAGAAAGAUUAGAUAAGUUCAUUGAGGUUAGCAAUCAAUCUGCAGAGGAUCGCCAGAAGGUGAUAGAGAGCCAGUUGCUUCUUUCAAGUCGACAGCUUGAAACUGCAAAGGUUAAUAGCAAGACAAAACAAAUGGAUUCUAGUACCAAUCUGCUGUUAGCUGACACAUCUAAGAUGGAUGAUUUUGAAAAGGCUCAGCGAGUUAUGGCCCUGAAGCAUAUGCAGACCACAUUAUUUGCAGAUUCAGGUAAUUUUCUUGGUUGA
rnacentral:rRNA from 1 species